AUGAGUCUCGUCUGCGCUCUUGGGGUAAUUUUGGUCGGCCGGCCACUCCUGGGAAGGUUCACCACUGUUCCAUGUUUUUGCCAUUUGUGGAUAAUGGCUCUCACUGUGGUUCGCUGGAGUCCCAAAGCUUUAGAAAUGGCUUUAUAACCUUUACCAGACUGAUAGAUCUCAAUUACUUCUGUUCUCAUUUGUUCCUGAAUUUCUUUGGAUCUUGGCAUGAUGUCUAGCUUUUGAGGUGCUUUUGGUCUACUUCUCUGUGUCAGGCAGCUCCUAUUGAAGUGAUUUCUUGAUUGAAACAGGUGUGGCAGUAAUCAGGCCUGGGGGUGGCUACGGAAAUUGAACUCAGGUGU